rnacentral:lncRNA from 1 species
AGGAGAAACUAUUGCUGCAGGACCAAGAGAUAAUUACAGAUUUCUUCCUUCUCCCUCUUAACAAUCAUGAGGCCAUGCUCAGAAUUAAAUGGUUGACGACAUUAGGUGAUAUUUCCUGGAAUUUUAUGAAACUAAUUAUGAAAUUUUACAGUAAGGAGAAACAAGUGACAUUGCACGGGAAACGUGGGGGCGACAUAAC